CUGGGAUUAGAUACCCACUAUGCCUAGGUAUAAAACUUUAUCCGCCAGAAAUUACGAGUAAAAACUUAAAACUCAAAAGACUUGACGGUGUCCCACCUACCUAGAGGAGCCUGUUCCAUAAUCGAUAACCCACGAUAAACCCAACCACCCAUUGAAAAAUCAGCCUAUAUACCGCCGUCGACAGCCAGCCUCCUAAAAGAACUAAAGCAGGCCAAAUAGAUUAUACCCUAAAAAGUCAGGUCAAGGUGUAGCUAAUGGGGUGGAGAUAAUGGGCUACAUUUUUUACUAUAAAAAAUACGAAUCAGACUUUGAAACCAAGCCUAUAAAGGUGGAUUUAGCAGUAAGUUAAUAAAGAAUAAUUAACUUAACCAAGCCCUGGGACACGUACACACCGCCCGUCACCC
rnacentral:rRNA from 1 species